GACGAACGCUGGCGGCGUGCUUAACACAUGCAAGUCGAACGGAAAGGCCCUGCUUUUGUGGGGUGCUCGAGUGGCGAACGGGUGAGUAACACGUGAGUAACCUGCCCUUGACUUUGGGAUAACUUCAGGAAACUGGGGCUAAUACCGGAUAGGAGCUCCUGCUGCAUGGUGGGGGUUGGAAAGUUUCGGCGGUUGGGGAUGGACUCGCGGCUUAUCAGCUUGUUGGUGGGGUAGUGGCUUACCAAGGCUUUGACGGGUAGCCGGCCUGAGAGGGUGACCGGCCACAUUGGGACUGAGAUACGGCCAGGACUCCUACGGGAGGCAGCAGUGGGGAAUAUUGCACAAUGGGCGGAAGCCUGAUGCAGCAACGCCGCGUGCGGGAUGACGGCCUUCGGGUUGUAACCCGCUUUCGCCUGUGACGAAGCGUGAGUGACGGUAAUGGGUAAAGAAGCACCGGCUAACUACGUG
rnacentral:rRNA from 1 species